GAAUUACUUAAUGAGUCAUUAAGUUAUAAUGGAUUUGGAAAAUUAUGAUAGUACAAUCCUAAAAGUGUUGUCAAAAUACUGGUGCCAGAAGACUCGGUAAGGCCAGAAACGCUAACGUUAAUAGUCUUGAUCAGGCGUAAAGGGUUAGUAGGCAUCUUUUGUUUUUAAUAGAAAGAUUGAAUCUUAUCCGUGACAAUUAGAAAAAUGCUCAAUGUAAGGGUGAUAUCUUUUAAUAUUGAGUGGAAGACUCAGGGCGAAAGCUAUUUGUUUAGUAAAGAUUGACGCUUAGGAACGUAGGUGAGGAUAGAAAAAAGGAUUAGAUACCCAAGUAUCCCUCUCUGUUAACGAUGAAUGGUUAGUUGUUCAAUAUUAUUUUUAUAGUUAAAAUAAAUAUUUGAAUUGGUUGAAUAGCGAAGCAAACGCAAUUACCAUUCCGCCUUGUAAGUACGACUGCAAAGUUGAAAACAAAAAAAUUAGUCGGUUUCGAAGCAAACGGAGUGAAGCAUG
rnacentral:rRNA from 1 species